AGAGGGUGCGAGCGUUAAUCGGAAUUACUGGGCGUAAAGCGCACGUAGGUGGCUUAGCAAGUCGAUUGUGAAAUCCCCGGGCUCAACCUGGGAACUGCAGUCGAGACUGCUUUGCUCGAGUAUGGGAGAGGGAGGUGGAAUUUCCGGUGUAGCGGUGAAAUGCGUAGAUAUCGGAAGGAACAUCAGUGGCGAAAGCGACCUCCUGGACCAAUACUGACACUCAAGUGCGAAAGCGUGGGGAGCAAACAGGAUUAGAUACCCUGGUAGUCCACGCCAUAAACGAUGAGAACUGGAUGUCGGAGGGGUCUGCCCUUCGGUGUCGUAGCUAACGCGUUAAGUUCUCCGCCUGGGGAGUACGGCCGCAAGGUUG
rnacentral:rRNA from 1 species